rnacentral:rRNA from 1 species
GACGAACGCUGGCGGCGUGCUUGAUACAUGCAAGUCGAACGGACCUUUUGAGGGAGCUUGCUUUCUUGGAAGGUUAGUGGCGGACGGGUGAGUAACGCGUGGGCAAUCUGCCCCGAGGCCCGGGACAACAGUUCGAAAGGGCUGCUAAUACCGGAUGACCCUGCGGAAUGGCAUCAUUCUGCAAGCAAAGGUUACGCCUUGGGAUGAGCCCGCGUCCCAUUAGCUAGUUGGUGAGGUAACGGCCCACCAAGGCGACGAUGGGUAGCCGGACUGAGAGGUUGGCCGGCCACACUGGGACUGAGACACGGCCCAGACUCCUACGGGAGGCAGCAGUAGGGAAUUUUCGUCAAUGGGGGAAACCCUGAACGAGCGACGCCGCGUGAGGGACGAAGGCCUUCGGGUUGUAAACCUCUGUCUAGAGGGACGAUAAUGACGGUACCUCUGGAGGAAGCCACGGCUAACUACGUGCCAGCAGCCGCGGUAAGACGUAGUGGCGA